UCAGAAGAUAGUUUAAUUUAGAACUCUGGCUUUGGGAGCCAGGGGUGGGAGUUAAAAUCUCUCUUUUCUG
rnacentral:tRNA from 1 species